rnacentral:rRNA from 1 species
UGGGGAAUUUUGGACAAUGGGCGCAAGCCUGAUCCAGCCAUGCCGCGUGCGGGAAGAAGGCCUUCGGGUUGUAAACCGCUUUUGUCAGGGAAGAAAUCUUCUGAGUUAAUACCUCGGGAGGAUGACGGUACCUGAAGAAUAAGCACCGGCUAACUACGUGCCAGCAGCCGCGGUAAUACGUAGGGUGCAAGCGUUAAUCGGAAUUACUGGGCGUAAAGCGUGCGCAGGCGGUUUUGUAAGACAGAGGUGAAAUCCCCGGGCUCAACCUGGGAACUGCCUUUGUGACUGCAAGGCUUGAGUGCGGCAGAGGGGGGAUGGAAUUCCGCGUGUAGCAGUGAAAUGCGUAGAUAUGCGGAGGAACACCGAUGGCGAAGGCAAUCCCCCUAGGCCUGCACUGACGCUCAUGCACGAAAGCGUGGGGAGCAAACAGGAUUAGAUACCCUGGUAGUCCACGCCCUAAACGAUGUCAACUGGUUGUUGGGAAGGUUCCUUCUCAGUAACGUAGCUAACGCGUGAAGUUGACCGCCUGGGGAGUACGGCCGCAAGGUUG